rnacentral:lncRNA from 1 species
UCUCUGAUAACGAAACACAUUCAAAUACAGUAGAUUUAUGUUAAUUCAACUCUGGUUAAUUUGAUUUUUCGGUUAAUUUGAUCCCAACCGAACAUCCCUACU